UACGUAGGGGGCUAGCGUUGUCCGGAAUCAUUGGGCGUAAAGAGCGUGUAGGCGGCUCGGUAAGUCCGCUCUGAAAGCCCGGGGCUCAACCCCGGGAGGCGGGCGGAUACUGUCGAGCUAGAGUCCGGAAGAGGCGAGUGGAAUUCCUGGUGUAGCGGUGAAAUGCGCAGAUAUCAGGAGGAACACCGGUGGCGAAGGCGGGUCUCUGGGCAGUAACUGACGCUGAGGAGCGAAAGCAUGGGGAGCGAACAGG
rnacentral:rRNA from 1 species